rnacentral:tRNA from 1 species
GGGCAGGUAGCGUAGUGGUCAGCGCAUCUCUAAGCGUAUUCAGCGUUGCUUUCUUUUUCUCCAGCGUUUAGCGAAGACCCAGGUUCAAAUCCCGGCCUGCCCA